ACUCCUACGGGAGGCAGCAGUGGGGAAUAUUGCACAAUGGGCGCAAGCCUGAUGCAGCGACGCCGCGUGAGGGAUGACGGCCUUCGGGUUGUAAACCUCUUUCAGUAUCGACGAAGCGCAAGUGACGGUAGGUACAGAAGAAGCACCGGCCAACUACGUGCCAGCAGCCGCGGUAAUACGUAGGGUGCGAGCGUUGUCCGGAAUUACUGGGCGUAAAGAGCUCGUAGGUGGUUUGUCGCGUUGUUCGUGAAAACUCACAGCUCAACUGUGGGCGUGCGGGCGAUACGGGCAGACUGGAGUACUGCAGGGGAGACUGGAAUUCCUGGUGUAGCGGUGGAAUGCGCAGAUAUCAGGAGGAACACCGGUGGCGAAGGCGGGUCUCUGGGCAGUAACUGACGCUGAGGAGCGAAAGCGUGGGGAGCAAACAGGAUUAGAUACCCUGGUAG
rnacentral:rRNA from 1 species